GACAGAGGAACCCAAUCCUGGAUUCCCAGGUCCUCCCAUCCAGUAAUCAGCACUGAACAGAGUCCACUCACCAUGGACUGCGGGCUCAGCUUGGUUUUCCUUGUCCUUAUUUUAAAAGGUGUCCAGUGUGAGGUGCAGCUGGUGGAGUCUGGAGGAGGCUUAGUGCAGCCUGGAGGGUCCCUGAAACUCUCCUGUGCAGCCUCUGGAUUUACAUUCAGCAGCUCUGCCAUGACAUGGGUCCGCCAGACUCCAGAGAAGAGGCUGGAGUGGGUCGCAACCAUUAGAGCUGAUGGUAGUUACACCUACUAUCCAGACACUGUAAAGGGGCGAUUCACCAUCUCCAGAGACAAUGCCAAGAACACCCUGUUUCUGCAAAUGAGCAGUCUGAGGUCUGAGGAUAUGGCCAUGUAUUACUGUGCAAGAGGCACAGUGAGGGAAUGUUACUGUGAGCUCAAACACAAACCUCCUAUAAGGGCCCCCUAA